rnacentral:rRNA from 1 species
UACGUAGGGUGCGAGCGUUGUCCGGAAUUAUUGGGCGUAAAGGGCUCGUAGGCGGUUUGUCGCGUCGGGAGUGAAAUCCACUGGCUUAACUGGUGGCUUGCUUUCGAUACGGGCAGACUGGAGGUAUGCAGGGGAGAACGGAAUUCCUGGUGUAGCGGUGAAAUGCGCAGAUAUCAGGAGGAACACCGGUGGCGAAGGCGGUUCUCUGGGCAUGUCCUGACGCUGAGGAGCGAAGGCGUGGGGAGCGAACGGG